rnacentral:rRNA from 1 species
AUAUUGGGCAAUGGGGGAAACCCUGACCCAGCAACGCCGCGUGAAGGAAGAAGGCCUUCGGGUUGUAAACUUCUUUUACCAGGGACGAAGGACGUGACGGUACCUGGAGAAAAAGCCACGGAUAACUACGUGCCAGCAGCCGCGGUAAUACGUAGGUGGCAAGCGUUGUCCGGAAUUACUGGGUGUAAAGGGCGUGUAGGCGGAGCUGCAAGUCAGAUGUGAAAUCUCCGGGCUUAACCCGGAAACUGCAUUUGAAACUGUAGCCCUUGAGUAUCGGAGAGGCAAGCGGAAUUCCUAGUGUAGCGGUGAAAUGCGUGGAUAUUAGGAGGAACACCAGUGGCGAAGGCGGCUUGCUGGACGACAACUGACGCUGAGGCGCGAAAGCGUGGGGAGCAAACAG